CCAAUAUUCUAUAAAAGACGACAUAUCUCAGGCGAUACCAACAGUUUUCUUCAUAUUUCGUUACAAUCCAGUUUGUGAAUAUGAAACUAUUUAUUCAGAUGGCUUUAUGUCUUAUUUCUCUCGCUGUGCCUUCGAUGGCUGCCCCGUGGUAUGGCAAGGGGAAAGGACACGGACACGGUGGACACGGUGGACACGGAGGAGGUGGACAUGGAGGAGGUGGACAUGAAGGAGGAAAAGGGGGAGGAUUUGGAGGAAUUACGCUUCAAGGGCCAGACAUUGUGUUCCAAUUCGAUCCACUUGACGAAGUUUAUGCGAAUGAUCCUAUUGACAUGUAUUAUAUAUGAAAAAAAAAAAUAAAAUAAAAUAAACUGCAGGCAAAAUAUAACUGUAUUCUUUACUUUUCAGAUAUCUAAAAUGAUCGCAAUUAUUUUUACUACGAAUGAUGCAACAUUUUGUUUGAUACGUAAUGCUGGGCUAAUCAACACAAUAUCGCAUUUGCUUUGUCCAGAAAUUUCCUAGGCACAGAAGUUUCUUGUUAAUUUUUCUUUAUUUACAAUUUUAAAAUGCACGUUAAUAAAUUAUCCUUAGAAGUAGGUGAUUCGUUAUCCAAACAGGUAGUAGAUAUCUUAUAUUGGAGGACACUCUAUUGAAAUUUUACUACCGUUAUUUUUCACAGCCGAUCUUGGACAUGUGUGUGUAAGUAUAAAGCUAUUAUAACGAAUAUAUUACGUAUAUAACUACAACGAAAUUCAGUAAGUUUAAUUUAAUAUUUUCGUCUCGGAAUUCUUUAAUACGCAAAAAAAAAUGCGUGCAAAUUUCAAUUAAGUUACUUCUGUGUAGGUAUUUCCAAUAUUCUAUAAAAGACGACAUAUCUCAGGCGAUACCAACAGUUUUCUUUAUAUUUCUUUACAAUCCAGUUUGUUAAUAUGAAACUAUUUAUUCUGCUCGCUUUGUGCCUAACUUAUCUCGCUGUUCCUUUGUUUCCAUUUAGAGGAAAUAAUAUAGACGGUAUGCGGCCAUAUCCACCUCCAGGACGUGAAUUAGAAGAAGGACAAUGAUAGAAAAUGAAUCGAGUUUUGAAGUUUUAAAAUAUUUGCAAUUAUGUUUAAUUUUGGCUA